CAACAGGUCUGUUAAGAACCUAACCACUCAACACUCAGAUACUUAUUUGUCUGAAAAUACCUCAUGCCAGUAUUGGAACCUGGAGAGGGCACGAGUGCGUGCAUGCGUGCAUGUAUGUGCGCCUGUGUAGGCACAUGACUUAUCUCGACGAUUUAGUGAUCCAUCCUAAGUUGCUUUCCUGCCUGACUGCUCUGUGGAUGUUGAAAGGUGUCGCUUGUCUUCAACAAAAGCAUUCAGGACUGGGCCAACCAUGCACUUCUGUAGAUGGUGUCAGGAAAGGCGCAGACUUGAGCUGCCCAGGCUCAGGGGUCAGCACACAGUUUGGCUUCAGGACAGUUUCUUCUUUCUCUUCUAGGUGAAGAACUGUGCCCAGUUCGUGACUGGAUCUCAGGCUAGGGUCCGGGAAUAUGAGAAGCAGCUGGAGAAAAUAAAGAACAUGAUUCC
rnacentral:lncRNA from 1 species